UACAGUAUGUAUAUAGUAUCUUAUUUUGCCCUUCCUAACUGCCAGGGGCAUUGAGAAUCACAUGGAUAAUGUAUAAUGUAACCCAGUGUCACGAGGAGGCAAAACACCUUAUAACUAACCAGAGGUUAGUUAAGAUGUUCAGAAAUGACCACUGCUCUCAUACAACUGGGAGGAGUGAAAGUGCACACUGGAGUCCAGAAAAAUCAGAGAUUACUGACUCCUAUGGUAAAACCUACCACACACCACUAUCCACAGACAUCCCUUCUUCAGGAUACUCCUUCUACAGCUUCAGCAAAAGCUCUACCCUGGAAAAAGAGAAGAGCUCCUAGAGCAGCUUGAAGUACAGAAGAGUAACGGUUCUGGAAAUGCUCAGGAAGCUCUCUCAGCUAAGGUGGAGCGCCUCCCCAAGUUCCAGGCUCCCGUCCCCAGAAGAGUUUGCUUCAGCUGCUGGUCCAGAUCCUCCUGACUAGGCUCCAUGUAGUCCCGGUCCAGAUCGUCUCUGGAGAGGCUAUGUGCAGGGUCACUGGCAGUGUGCUGGGAGAGUCU